rnacentral:rRNA from 1 species
AUUGAACGCUGGCGGCAGGCCUAACACAUGCAAGUCGAACGGUAACAGGAAGAAGCUUGCUUCUUUGCUGACGAGUGGCGGACGGGUGAGUAAUGUCUGGGAAACUGCCUGAUGGAGGGGGAUAACUACUGGAAACGGUAGCUAAUACCGCAUAACGUCGCAAGACCAAAGAGGGGGACUUUCGGGCCUCUUGCCAUCGGAUGUGCCCAGAUGGGAUUAGCUAGUAGGUGGGGUAACGGCUCACCUAGGCGACGAUCCCUAGCUGGUCUGAGAGGAUGACCAGCCACACUGGAACUGAGACACGGUCCAGACUCCUACGGGAGGCAGCAGUGGGGAAUAUUGCACAAUGGGCGCAAGCCUGAUGCAGCCAUGCCGCGUGUAUGAAGAAGGCCUUCGGGUUGUAAAGUACUUUCAGCGGGGAGGAAGGGAGUAAAGUUAAUACCUUUGCUCAUUGACGUUACCCGCAGAAGAAGCACCGGCUAACUCCGUG